AAAAAAAAAAAAAAAAAAAUUCCUAAAGCUUUCACUCUAGAAUUGAGUUUCCUUGAAAUUCCAUGAUUUGUAAAAAAUUUCAGGUUUCCAUCUGCAAUUAUAAUAAUAAACAAUAUUAAUAUAACUCAAAGCUUUUUGUGUAGUAAACUGCUAUGACUUUAUCUAUUAAAUUAUAUUAAUAUUUGUGCGCCUAUUAUAACGGUGUCUUUACCCAUGUCAUAUUAUCUUUUAAAAUCUGUGGCAAUGUGUUUUAUGGAAUAAGAAAACUAAGCGCACCAGAAUAUUGCUUUAAUGUCUAUUAUAAAUCAAUAAUUACAUUUGUUUGGCUUCUAAAGGAACGUACCGAUGAUGAUAGAAG
rnacentral:misc_RNA from 1 species